UUGGAUGGCAAAUGGAAGAAACGUCUGAA
rnacentral:piRNA from 2 species